rnacentral:rRNA from 1 species
UACGUAGGGUGCGAGCGUUAAUCGGAAUUACUGGGCGUAAAGCGUGCGCAGGCGGUUCGUUAAGUUCGAUGUGAAAGCCCCGGGCUCAACCUGGGAAUGGCAUUGGAAACUGGCGGACUCGAGUGUGGCAGAGGGGGGUGGGAAUUCCGCGUGUAGCAGUGAAAUGCGUAGAGAUGCGGAGGAACACCGAUGGCGAAGGCAGCCCCCCUGGGCUAACACUGACGCUCAGGCACGAAAGCGUGGGGAGCAAACAGG